rnacentral:lncRNA from 1 species
GUGGAAAACCAAAUAUACAUUUGGUUCAGUAAUUCAUUUGAUGUUGAUAUGGAUUGUGUAAAUAAUUUCAUCACCAUUUUUAGGAUUUUUUUCCCUCUCUUGUUAUAUUGAAAUAUAUAAAAUAUUUGAAAAGACUCACACUAUAUUAGGUAUUUUUGUAUCUAUUCAUAUCUGUCAGAUUAUCCAUAUUUUUAGGGCAUGUAUA